CAGACCCAUUCACUAUAAUAUCAGCUUAAUAGCUGAAGUACAAAUAGCAUGUAACAGAAAGUUAAAGAGGUCAAACAAUGAACGAAUGUUUUUUCUCCUAAAUUUUCCUCCUCUUCAUCUCAGAUCUACUCCCAGACCCCUCCUCCUCCUCUCUAAAUUCUUCUCCUUUUCUCCCUAUUUCCCUCUUAGAUUUACUAGAAAUCCCUCUUCAACCCUUACUCUUCAUUUUCUGUACCUGGAUCUACAUAGAUCUAGAAACAUUCGGCCAAGAAGACUUAUCUCAGAGCAUUGGGACAUUACAACUUGGUAUUAGAGUAGUGGAAUUCUUGGAUCUGAGGGCGGGGACACUACUCUCACUUGGAUCUAUCUAGUUCAGUAGAUCAGCAUCAGGUAUUCAAUAGAUCUCUGAAUUUCAUACCAAGUAAACAGUAAUAGCAUAGAUCUGAAUAGCAGUAGCUUAGAUCUGAAUAGAAAUAGCAUAGAUUUAAUCUGUAUCAAGAUCUGGGAGUGAUUACUACUCCAAAACUUAAGAACAGCAAUUAGGGCUCAAGAUCAUCAUCGGCCAUCUUGGAUGUAAAUUUUCAGUAGCUAGAAAAGUAAAGUAGUAGUAUAAAAUCUGCUCAAAAUAGCUCAAAUGAAUUCAAAAUAGGGAUGAAAAAAUAUAGAAAUAGAACUAAAUAUCAAAACUAAUUCUUCUAGAAAGAAG
rnacentral:lncRNA from 1 species